CAAAAAAUAGUUUAAACAAAAUAAUAACUUUGGGAGUUAUAGAUCAAUUUCUAAUUGUUUUUUGA
rnacentral:tRNA from 1 species